GACGAACGCUGGCGGCGUGCCUAAUACAUGCAAGUAGAACGCUGAAGAGAGGAGCUUCCUCUUCUUGGAUGAGUUGCGAACGGGUGAGUAACGCGUAGGUAACCUGCCUUGUAGCGGGGGAUAACUAUUGGAAACGAUAGCUAAUACCGCAUAACAAUGGAUGACACAUGUCCUUUAUUUGAAAGGGGCAAUUGCUCCACUACAAGAUGGACCUGCGUUGUAUUAGCUAGUAGGUGAGGUAAUGGCUCACCUAGGCGACGAUACAUAGCCGACCUGAGAGGGUGAUCGGCCACACUGGGACUGAGACACGGCCCAGACGCCUACGGGAGGCAGCAGUAGGGAAUCUUCGGCAAUGGGGGCAACCCUGACCGAGCAACGCCGCGUGAGUGAAGAAGGUUUUCGGAUCGUAAAGCUCUGUUGUAAGUCAAGAACGGGUGUGAGAGUGGAAAGUUCACACUGUGACGGUAGCUUACCAGAAAGGGACGGCUAACUACGUG
rnacentral:rRNA from 1 species